rnacentral:rRNA from 1 species
UACGGGGGGAGCAAGCGUUGUUCGGAUUUACUGGGCGUAAAGGGCGCGUAGGCGGUCAGCACAAGUCAGUUGUGAAAUCUCCGGGCUUAACUCGGAAAGGUCAACUGAUACUGCGGGGCUAGAGUGCAGAAGGGGCAACUGGAAUUCUCGGUGUAGCGGUGAAAUGCGUAGAUAUCGAGAGGAACACCUGCGGCGAAGGCGGGUUGUGCUGGCUGACACGUGACGGCUGAUGACGCGGAAAGCCAAGGGAGGCGAAACACGGGAUUAGAAACCCCCAGG